rnacentral:rRNA from 1 species
UAACGCGUGAGGAACCUGCCUUUCAGAGGGGGACAACAGUUGGAAACGACUGCUAAUACCGCAUAACACAUAGGUGUCGCAUGGCAUUUAUGUCAAAGAUUUAUCGCUGAAAGAUGGCCUCGCGUCUGAUUAGCUAGUUGGUGAGGUAACGGCUCACCAAGGCGACGAUCAGUAGCCGGACUGAGAGGGUGAACGGCCACAUUGGGACUGAGACACGGCCCAAACUCCUACGGGAGGCAGCAG